rnacentral:rRNA from 1 species
UACGAAGGGGGCUAGCGUUGCUCGGAAUCACUGGGCGUAAAGCGCACGUAGGCGGCUUGUUAAGUCAGGGGUGAAAUCCUGGAGCUCAACUCCAGAACUGCCUUUGAUACUGGCGAUCUCGAGUCCGGGAGAGGUGAGUGGAACUGCGAGUGUAGAGGUGAAAUUCGUAGAUAUUCGCAAGAACACCAGUGGCGAAGGCGGCUCACUGGCCCGUAACUGACGCUGAGGCACGAAAGCGUGGGGAGCAAACAGG